UACGGGGGGAGCAAGCGUUGUUCGGAUUUACUGGGCGUAAAGGGCGCGUAGGCGGCCAGCGCAAGUCAGUUGUGAAAUCUCCGGGCUUAACUCGGAACGGUCAACUGAUACUGCGCGGCUAGAGUGCGGAAGGGGCAACUGGAAUUCUCGGUGUAGCGGUGAAAUGCGUAGAUAUCGAGAGGAACACCUGCGGCGAAGGCGGGUUGCUGGGCCGACACUGACGCUGAGUGCGCGAAAGCCAGGGGAGCAAACGGG
rnacentral:rRNA from 1 species